rnacentral:rRNA from 1 species
GACGAACGCUGGCGGCGUGCUUAACACAUGCAAGUCGAACGGAAAGGCCCUGCUUUUGUGGGGUGCUCGAGUGGCGAACGGGUGAGUAACACGUGAGUAACCUGCCCUUGCCUUUGGGAUAACUUCCGGAAACUGGGGCUAAUACCGGAUAGGAGCUCCUGCUGCAUGGUGGGGGUUGGAACGUUUCGGCGGUUGGGGAUGGACUCGCGGCUUAUCAGCUUGUUGGUGGGGUAGUGGCUUACCAAGGCUUUGACGGGUAGCCGGCCUGAGAGGGUGACCGGACACAUUGGGACUGAGAUACGGCCCAGACUCCUACGGGAGGCAACAGUGGGGAAGAGUGCACAAUGGGCGGAAGCCUGAUGCAGCAACGCCGCGUGCGGGAUGACGGCCUUCGGGUUGUAAACCGCUUUCGCCUGUGACGAAGCGUGAGUGACGGUAAUGGGUAAAGAAGCACCGGCUAACUACGUG